GAACGAACUCUGGUAUUGAUUGGUGCUUGCAUCAUGAUUUACAUUUGAGUGAGUGGCGAACUGGUGAGUAACACGUGGGAAACCUGCCCAGAAGCGGGGGAUAACACCUGGAAACAGAUGCUAAUACCGCAUAACAACUUGGACCGCAUGGUCCGAGUUUGAAAGAUGGCUUCGGCUAUCACUUUUGGAUGGUCCCGCGGCGUAUUAGCUAGAUGGUGGGGUAACGGCUCACCAUGGCAAUGAUACGUAGCCGACCUGAGAGGGUAAUCGGCCACAUUGGGACUGAGACACGGCCCAAACUCCUACGGGAGGCAGCAGUAGGGAAUCUUCCACAAUGGACGAAAGUCUGAUGGAGCAACGCCGCGUGAGUGAAGAAGGGUUUCGGCUCGUAAAACUCUGUUGUUAAAGAAGAACAUAUCUGAGAGUAACUGUUCAGGUAUUGACGGUAUUUAACCAGAAAGCCACGGCUAACUACGUGCCAGCAGCCGCGGUAAUACGUAGGUGGCAAGCGUUGUCCGGAUUUAUUGGGCGUAAAGCGAGCGCAGGCGGUUUUUUAAGUCUGAUGUGAAAGCCUUCGGCUCAACCGAAGAAGUGCAUCGGAAACUGGGAAACUUGAGUGCAGAAGAGGACAGUGGAACUCCAUGUGUAGCGGUGAAAUGCGUAGAUAUAUGGAAGAACACCAGUGGCGAAGGCGGCUGUCUGGUCUGUAACUGACGCUGAGGCUCGAAAGUAUGGGUAGCAAACAGGAUUAGAUACCCUGGUAGUCCAUACCGUAAACGAUGAAUGCUAAGUGUUGG
rnacentral:rRNA from 2 species